AGAGCGAAAGAGGAAGAGGAGAGAAUGAGAAGAGGGAAGAGGAGCGAGAGAGAGAGGAGAGAAAGAGGGAGCUGAAGAAAUUAGAAGAAAAAUGCAAGACAUUGGAAGAGGAGAAUAAGCAACAUGCAAGAAAUAUUGAAGAAUUGGAUAAGCAACACCAGGAUGCGAUCGAUCGCAUUCUGCAAAAGCGAACGGAGAUGCAGAAGGAACUGAUAAACGAGAGGCAAGAAAAGAGCCGAUUAGAAAUAGAAUUGGCAGAAAUGGAGAAAGAGAGAGAAAGGGAGA